AUUGAACGCUGGCGGCAUGCCUUACACAUGCAAGUCGAACGGCAGCGCGGGGCAACCUGGCGGCGAGUGGCGAACGGGUGAGUAAUAUAUCGGAACGUGCCCUGGAGUGGGGGAUAACGUAGCGAAAGUUACGCUAAUACCGCAUACGAUCCAAGGAUGAAAGCAGGGGACCUUCGGGCCUUGUGCUCCUGGAGCGGCCGAUAUCUGAUUAGCUAGUUGGUGGGGUAAAAGCCUACCAAGGCGACGAUCAGUAGCUGGUCUGAGAGGACGACCGGCCACACUGGUACUGAGACACGGACCAGACUCCUACGGGAGGCAGCAGUAAGGAAUAUUGGUCAAUGGAGGCAACUCUGAACCAGCCAUGCCGCGUGCAGGAUGACGGCCCUAUGGGUUGUAAACUGCUUUUAUACAAGAGAAACCCUGGUACGUGUACCAGGUUGAUAGUAUUGUAAGAAUAAGCAUCGGCUAACUUCGUGCCAGCAGCCGCGGUAAU
rnacentral:rRNA from 1 species